UUGCUUCUGCAGCACAUACACUGAAAUUAGAAUGAUACAGAGAUUAGCAUGUCCCUGUGCNAAGAUGACAUGCAAAUUCAAGAAGCACUUAGUACUUUU
rnacentral:snRNA from 1 species